rnacentral:lncRNA from 1 species
GGGAAAAUAAGUCUUGGGUCCAUUUUCAAUUUUCAAGACUUGACUUUUUCUUGUACUUACCCUUAAAACAUGGGUCCUUAAAUCAUGGAAAAGUGGUUGAGAAGUGAUAUAAAGUCUUUUGGUGGUUGGGGGUCUUUCAAGACUAACAAGUACAUACACCUUUUUCCUUCACCUUUUAGGAUCUAACAUUCACUUUAUGUUCUAACAAUUUAUGAAGAAAGGUG